rnacentral:rRNA from 1 species
UACAGAGGUCUCAAGCGUUGUUCGGAUUCAUUGGGCGUAAAGGGUGCGUAGGCGGCGCGGUAAGUCGGGUGUGAAAUCUCGGGAGCUUAACUCCGAAACUGCAUUCGAUACUGCCGUGCUUGAGGACUGGAGAGGAGACUGGAAUUUACGGUGUAGCGGUGAAAUGCGUAGAUAUCGUAAGGAAGACCAGUGGCGAAGGCGGGUCUCUGGACAGUUCCUGACGCUGAGGCACGAAGGUCAGGGGAGCAAACGGG